CAGCAGCCGCGGUAAUACCAGCCCCGCGAGUGGUCGGGACGGUUAUUGGGCCUAAAGCGCCCGUAGCCGGCCCGGCAAGUCCCUCCUUAAAGCCUCGGGCCCAACCCGAGGACGGGGGGGAUACUGCCGGGCUAGGGGGCGGGAGAGGCCGGCGGUACUCCCGGGGUAGGGGCGAAAUCCGUUAAUCCCGGGAGGACCACCAGUGGCGAGGGCGGCCGGCUGGAACGCGCCCGACGGUGAGGGGCGAAAGCCGGGGGAGCGAACCGGAUUAGAUACCCGGGUAGUCCCGGCUGUAAACGAUGCGGGCUAGCUGUUGGGCGGGCUUAGAGCCCGCCCAGUGGCGCAGGGAAGCCGUUAAGUCCGCCGCCUGGGGAGUACGGCCGCAAGGCUGAAACUUAAAGGAAUUGGCGGG
rnacentral:rRNA from 1 species